GUUAGUUAAUUUUUUACUAUUUUUUUGCAAAAUUUAUUUAUAUCUAGACUUUUAGAAACUUUCAUUGUUCACCUGCUAGCUGUUGCACUCUUUUAUGUACUGUUGCACUCUUUUAUGCACUGUUCCACGUGCAAUCUAUAACGUAUUAACAUUUUUGUGCUAACAUUGCAUCCGCCUAAGAUAAUAGACAUGUCAGUGAUUGAUUAUAGUACUAGCUAUCGAUUUAUUUUGUCUUUUGCGUUAGACUUUAGCUAAUUUAUGGUAGAGAUUAGACUACAUGACAACCUUGCCAUCUCUUCACCUAUGGCUCACAUGCCAUUCUAUGCCAUGGUAU
rnacentral:lncRNA from 1 species